AUCAUACUUCCUCGGUCCAACAAAGGCUGUCUCAACUUUGACUAAAUUUGAAUGUAUCUAUAUACUAAGUCACAUCUAAAUACAUCCAAAUUUUGACAAACUUGAGACAUCCUUUGUUGGACGGAGGGAGUACUUU
rfam:Brachypodium distachyon strain Bd21 chromosome 2, whole genome shotgun sequence.